rnacentral:sRNA from 1 species
AAUCAGCGUAAGGGAUAGCAGUGGAAAUCCUUUUUUAUCAUGAAGCGAAAGCGGAAUGAUGAAAAAGAUUGCAACGAAUAGCCCGACCAAUG